GAAAAAAACAGAGAAAAAGGGCAGGAGGCAAUGGGCGCGUCUCCCCCGCGACCCUCAUCCCCUCUUGCCGCCGCCGGCUCCUCUCCUCUCCCCACACCUUGUCUGCCUCCCUCUCCGUCGUCUUCUCUCGCCCCAGCCGUCUUUGUCCUCUCCUGCGCCGCCAGCCCCGGAUCUGGAGGAGGAAGAGGAGAACCGGGCGUCCUGGCGGUGGCUCGACCGGCGGGCACGGAGGCAUGCUUCUCCGGUGGCGGUCAACAGCGGCGUCGGCGGUGCGGGUUGAUUCACCGCCUGAAGCGACCAACGGCCAGCGAGGAAGACGGCUUGAGGAGGAGCACGGGUCAAGGGGAGCCUCCUUCGAUCCUACAAGGCUCCAUCUCGAGCACUUGAACGCGACACCAAGGACGGUGUCUCGGGAGGACGACGACAGUGGUGUGCAGCCUGGAACCCUAGGCUUCUCUGCUCCAUACCCAUGGUCGAGCUGCCACGUCCUUCGCCCAGAUUUGGUGCAGGUUUAACUGAACUCUUGAUGAUGUUUUGUCAGCAAACACACCGAGACGUUGGAAUAAAUUGAUGUGGUGUACAAGGAGCUGGCUUUACAGUCUGGCGUUAAGCACUGGGGAGGAGUUCCUUCUUUAGGUGAUCAUGUCACUCUUCCACUGUCUUGUUGGUUCAUGUACUGUUGUUCGUUGCCAAAGUUUGUGCUUCCUCUUUUCAGUUCUAUUUUCUUUGGAUUCUGAGAUGCAUAAUGAUUGAAUGUGUUUAAGUUUGUCCGUUUCUGCCAUGUGUUUUGGGUGACUAUGUACAGUUUAUCUAUUCUAUCUGGUGCAUCUUGUGCUAAACUUCUCGCUGGAUGUGCUCUAAUUGGCUAUCGCAUGUGUGCUCUAGCCUAAGCCAUUGCAUUUGAAGUUGUCACUUUCUGAAUUUUUCAUGUUCCUGCUUGCAUGCGCUGCGAUUGGUUAUAUGCAAGGAAGAAUGGUGUCCUGUUCUUUUUAUUUUUAUUUUUUCAGCCUCCACGUUCCCAAUAUUAAUUAGUCACUUGGUAGAAUUCUUAAUCUGUGUAUUUUCCAUGCCUGAGUUGUUCUUGCUUUGUUAUUUUCUUUUGUAUUACAGGUCUUGUUGUUGUGGCACUCUCUUGUCAUCACACGCGCUGCUGUUUUUGACUGCCAAGAUUUGUGCUGUAUAUAUUAUAGUUCAAAAGCUUUUCGUUAUGCUUCCUAUCUCGAAAAUAAGAAUAGCUCCAUGGUUUGUUGCUAGCUGCCUCCUUCUUUUGCCGUUGUUUAUAUUAAGUUACCUUCAGAGUAUGGGUUUGUUAUUUCCAGUCCUAAUUAGUUGGCAACUUUAGUUUCAUAGGUUCAGUUUGUGUUACAAAUUUAUAGGUCAAUAAUGACAUUUAAGCAGAAGAUUCUUUUCGUUAUGCAGGGUGAGAAAGGGUGCUCCAGAAGGGCCAGAAAUUUGGCCAUUGUAAAUUUGGACCAACACACAUGAAUUUCAUCACCCAGAAGGGCCAGGACUUGGUGUUUUUUCAGAGACACCAAGCAUGUAUCCACCAGCGCAACAAUUGCAUGUCUCUUCCAGUUGGCAAUUGGGAAGGCUUUCUGUUCUACCAGGAUCAUUUUUCUCAGGCUCUUAUCCUCCAAAUUAUGCACCCAUCUAUAGUCAUGCCGAUGUAGUAAUGGAACCCUUACAUGGUAAGUUUCUAAUAUUGUAUUCCUUCUCAUUUUAAACGUUGUGCUACAAAUAGUAGGCCAUCGAACAAGGGUGUUUUAUAUUAAUCUAGACCAAAGUAUAAAAAAAUAAAUUUGUAGGGUCUGUUAUUAAUGAUACAACCUUUACUGUCUAAUUUCAGGAACUCACAAUGUAUGAGGAGCAUUGUGCUGUAAAACAAGAUUACAAAAAUGACCCAAAACAUGACUUUGUUCUUUUGUGCUAUGAAGAUUGUGAUGCAUUGUCAGAAAAAUAAAACCUGCUCUGAUGACUUCAUUCUCCUUUAUUUUCUUAGUCACCUAUGAACCAAGUUGUGUCAACUAGGGCACAACAAACUGUUCUUUUUUUAGAAGAGACAACAAACUGUUCAGGCAGGACCAUUUGGCGUAUCACACCGAGGGCCUCCAUCCGUAGUUGCUUAUGGUAGUAAUUAUGCAUCGUUGUCUUCUUCAACAUGGCCUUCAAGUGGCAAACAAGAAAUUGCCUGAUUUCUCAUGUUUUAAUUUAAGCUUUGUAGCCACUUUGAAGCUUGCUUGCUACAUAUUUGACAGUACCUACAUUAGAACCAAAUAUGUCUUAGUACAUCCAUUAGAACCAAAUAUGUUUUAGUUAAGUGAUGUUCCUGAGGCCUUGCUCAUACAUAUUCAUGUUUUAUUAUCAAUCUCUAAACUACUCUUGCAUGGUUUGAAUGCCUGGUUUUCUCUUGGUUUUUGCGUCAGGGGCGCAAAGGGUCAUACUCUGUCGCAUAUAAGAUAUGUUGCAGAUCACCUUAAUGAUGCAACUUAUAAUUAGAGAACAUUCUACAGGAACCAAACAAGUAUUAUUAGGGGUUGGAUGAUGGUAUGGAAGGCAUUUUUAUUUUUGGCAAUGGCAACCCACCAGACACACCCACCAUGAAGAGCUACUUAGAUGAUGAAGUCAUAUUCGAUACCGAUGGCAUCUGCAACGAUGACUACGUGAUAUUCAUCACUACUCACCACGAGCUAAAUGAUCGAAGCUGUCUAUAUGCAUAACCUAUGUGUAGCUUUCUUGAUAAACGUAGUAUAAAUAAGCUAUCGUAAUCUAAUCCCAUGCCUUUCUCAUAAUGCUAUAUAUCAAUUUCAUACGAAAAUAUCUAUUCUCUUAUGAUCCAAUCGGCAUCUAAAUAUUCUUACGUGCGUGGUUUGAAUGCUUGGUUUGUACAAUAUUUGUCCCCUUAUUUCCCUGAUCUUUUUAGUUUUAGUUUCUGUUGCCGCAGACAAGCAAUUCAAAUGCAGAGCUACAUCAAAGAUCCGCGUCAAAUAAUUAGGCCAAUAUAAAUAACAAAAUUUGGGCGUAGUGUCGUAGUCGCCUCCAUCCUGUAGCAUCUUAGCUCUUUGUACAUUUUGAUUGUUCAUUUUACUGGCUCCUUCAUUUUCGUCUGCUAGCUCAAUGAUUUGUCAUUGUUAUAAUUGGUUCCUUUCUGUCACUGCUGGUCUUGAACACAUACUGGUGGCAUCCGAUGGGACAAAUUCGACUGGUCUCUAUCCGAGAGGAGAGAUCCGGGGGAAUGUGUGUUGAGGCUCUCAUCAUGUUGGUACAUGGUGAAUGUUCCAUCAAGUUGUGGAUGGCUCUAAGGCAUGUGACACCAAUGAUAGAUACUCCUGCCGUGUCAUGAAGCUCAUUAAGUGCUACAAAAAUAUUUCACAGGGGUAUGUAUCAUGGCUCUAAGUCACGCACAUGAGAUUUGAGACUUUUUUGGGGGCUAAUGAUAAAUAUUGUUGGUGAUAAGGAGUGUAUGCUUAUGUGCUGUACUUUUCAUUAUCCAAUAUAUGGAUAAUAUUUAUCAUUGUCAAAAGAGUGCACCUCGGGAUAAUGGUUAUGAAAUAUUUUUCCUAUAUUAUUAUGUACUUCAACCUUUUCAUAUUUCAAAGUGGUUGUGAGAAUGGCUAUGAAAUUGAAGAGGCGGCCAGAGGAGGUAGUGAGGGAGCUGCUCCUUCAUCCUCCCCUCCAUACUGUCGGUGUGUUCUUCCUACUAUAAAGCAACAUGGAUUUCUUUAAAUUAAAUUGUGCAUAUUAUGGAAAAUAAAUCUUGUGUGUCUAUAGUCAUGUUCAUCUGUCACAAAUCCAUGGUGAAAUAAACAGGAGAAUACAUGCUUGCAGAAGUUGUCAAGAGGCUCCAUUUAACCAUCAAAGACCAUGAGACCUACGAAUCCAGUGAUAGAGAUGGACACAAUCUCUCCUUGUGGAAGGACAAUGUAUCAAUUGCCAACAAAACCAAACAUUUCAUCCUAUCUUACCAUGUAGUACUAACUUAACUGCAAUGUAUCACCUGUGUCAAAAACUAUUUGAAUCGCGUAUUUGGCUAUCUAUGAUAUCAAACCUUUGUGUUCUUUCAA